GAGGGUAUAGCUCAAGUGGUAGAGCAUUUGCUUAGCAUGCAUGAGGUCCUGGGUUUGAUCCGCAGUACUUCCU
rnacentral:tRNA from 1 species